rnacentral:rRNA from 1 species
UGCGCAGGCGGUUCUGUAAGUCAGAUGUGAAAUCCCCGGGCUUAACCUGGGAAUUGCGUUUGAAACUACAGAGCUAGAGUGUGGCAGAGGGGGGUGGAAUUCCAUGUGUAGCAGUGAAAUGCGUAGAGAUAUGGAAGAACAUCGAUGGCGAAGGCAGCCCCCUGGGUUAACACUGACGCUCAUGCACGAAAGCGUGGGGAGCAAACAGGAUUAGAUACCCUGGUAGUCCACGCCCUAAACUAUGUCAACUAGUUGUCGGGCCUUAUUAGGUUUGGUAACGUAGCUAACGCGUGAAGUUGACCGCCUGGGGAGUACGGUCGCAAGAUUAAA